CACGUAGGGGGCGAGCGUUGUCCGGAUUUAUUGGGCGUAAAGAGCUCGUAGGCGGUUUCGUUAGUCGGGUGUGAAAACCCCAGGCUCAACCUGGGGACGCCACCCGAUACUGCGAUGACUAGAGUCCGGUAGGGGAGUGUGGAAUUCCUGGUGUAGCGGUGAAAUGCGCAGAUAUCAGGAGGAACACCGAUGGCGAAGGCAGCUCGCUGGGACGGUACUGACGCUGAGACGCGAAAGCGUGGGGAGCGAACAGG
rnacentral:rRNA from 1 species